rnacentral:rRNA from 1 species
GAUGAACGCUGGCGGCGUGCCUAACACAUGCAAGUCGAGCGGCAGCGCGGGGUGCUUGCACCCUGUCGGCGAGCGGCGGACGGCUGAGUAACGCGUGGGAACGUGCCCCAAAGUGAGGAAUAACUGCCCGAAAGGGUAGCUAAUACCGCAUAUUAUCUUCGGAUCAAAGGAUUUAUCCGCUUUGGGAGCGGCUCGCGUCGGAUUAGGUAGUUGGUGAGGUAAUGGCUCACCAAGCCGACGAUCCGUAGCUGGUCUGAGAGGAUGACCAGCCAGACUGGAACUGAGACACGGUCCAGACUCCUACGGGAGGCAGCAGUGAGGAAUCUUCCACAAUGGGCGAAAGCCUGAUGGAGCAACGCCGCGUGCAGGACGAAGGCCUUCUGGUUGUAAACUGCUUUUAUAAGUGAGGAAUAUGACGGUAACUGAUGAAUAAGGAUCGGCUAACUACGUG